CACGUAGGGGGCAAGCGUUGUCCGGAUUUACUGGGUGUAAAGAGCUCGUAGGCGGUUCGGCAAGUCGGGUGUGAAACCCCCAGGCUCAACCUGGGGACGCCACCCGAUACUGCUGUGACUUGAGUCCGGUAGGGGAGCGUGGAAUUCCUGGUGUAGCGGUGAAAUGCGCAGAUAUCAGGAGGAACACCAGCGGCGAAGGCGGCGCUCUGGGCCGGAACUGACGCUGAGGAGCGAAAGCGUGGGUAGCAAACAGG
rnacentral:rRNA from 1 species